rnacentral:miRNA from 1 species
UAUAUAGGGUCAGGGGGUUC